rnacentral:misc_RNA from 2 species
CCCCCCACAUGUAUGCUCGACCUCGCUGUCGCCGCAGGGGAAUCCGGUGCGAAUCCGGAACUGUCCCGCAACGGUGUGAUCAGUGUGCUUUUGCACACCCGAAGUCCGAAGACCUGUCGACAGCGCGUCCGGCUCG